rnacentral:rRNA from 1 species
AUUGAACGCUGGCGGCAUGCCUUACACAUGCAAGUCGAACGGCAGCACGGGAGCAAUCCUGGUGGCGAGUGGCGAACGGGUGAGUAAUGUAUCGGAACGUGCCCAGUCGUGGGGGAUAACGCAGCGAAAGCUGUGCUAAUACCGCAUACGAUCUAUGGAUGAAAGCGGGGGAUCGCAAGACCUCGCGCGAUUGGAGCGGCCGAUAUCAGAUUAGCUAGUUGGUGGGGUAAAAGCUUACCAAGGCGACGAUCUGUAGCUGGUCUGAGAGGACGACCAGCCACACUGGAACUGAGACACGGUCCAGACUCCUACGGGAGGCAGCAGUGGGGAAUUUUGGACAAUGGGCGCAAGCCUGAUCCAGCAAUGCCGCGUGCGGGAUGAAGGCCUUCGGGUUGUAAACUGCUUUUGUACGGAGCGAAAAGGCUCUCUCUAAUACAGGGGGCUCAUGACGGUACCGUAAGAAUAAGCACCGGCUAACUACGUGCCAGCCGCCGCUGUAA